rnacentral:lncRNA from 1 species
CGCCAUGACAACACAGGGCCCCGAUGUUUCCCUCCUGUUGCUCCUGCAUAGGGGGCCAUCCGAGUGCGACUCUGUGACGGAUCCGCACUACAUGUGUGGAAGCCUAGGAAAAAAUGGGUCGGGACUCAAUUUCACGCAUGAACUUCCAGAGCAUCAGAAACUGCGUUAUUUAGAUCUGGAACUAACUUUUCAACAAGACCACCUAUGCUGGCAGUAUACACCCAGGAGCCAGAAGCCUCUGCUGAGCUACAAGUCAUGUCACUCCAAACUUGCAAAAAACGGCGUGGUCUCUGGCUGCCUAGGAAUGGCAGUAAAGAAGCCUUGUGCUCACAAGAUGAGUACUACUCUGGAGACCCAGGUGCAUCGCUGCAAGGAAGCCGGUUUCAAAGACUCGGUUCUUGUAGAAUGUGUUUUGGAAAGUAGGCGCCAGGUAUGGCGUUAAUGUGCUGUUCCCUGCUCCUAAUAACGUGGGCAAGGUGGGAGCCGCAGUUCAAAGGAAGAUAGAGGCAUCGGGAAGAAGCUCAGG